GACCAGCAAGGCUGUUUCGUUUCCAAAGCCAGGCCUGAAGCCCACUUGAAAUAGAUCUACAGAAUGGUUUUAUCCAACAGUGAGUAUGCCUCACCUGAUAUCCCCACAUCAAAAACACAACCUGGGCACAGCAAAUGCAAGCAUUUAUUUCGCACCAAUUUGCCUUGCCACUUCAGGCAUUCAGAAACCUCUAGGCUUCAAUAUGCUUUACAACUCUAGGGGGCACCAAAUGCUUUUGAGAACAAUGCAGGCCAGCAUCUGCUCAGAUGUCCUGCAACAUAUUCUAGAUUUAGCAUUUGGUAGUAGUGCGAUUGCAACCAGGACCUAUCGUAGCAUGGUUCAGGCUUCCAUCUGCUCCGUUCCACCCAUCCUCCAGCUUUAUGCUCCCUCCUCAGUAGCCACUUAGCACUGUGGCCAUUCUUUGCUGGUCUGCUGUGGGUUGGGUCCCUGGCUCCAAAUAUACUACCUUUUCCUCCAAGGAGCUCAAGAUGGUGUACAUGGUUCUCCCCUCUCCAUUUUAUCCUCACAAUAACCCUGUGAGGUAGGUUAGGCUGAGAGGCAGUGACUGGGCCAAGAGCACCCAGUGAGCUUCAUGGCUGAGUGAGGAUUCAAACCCUGGUCUUCCAGGUUGUAGCCUUAACACUCUAACCAUUGCUCCAUGCUGGCACUCAGCCUGCUGAUAUUUCCCUCUUAUGUGUGGGUGGUGCUGUUUUGGCAACAUAAGCGACUGGCAUCAGAAACGGAGGAAAUGCUUAUCAACACUGGACAGUUCAAAAAGGAGAAUCUGGAAAGUCAAAGAAGGCUGUAGUGCUGAGUCUUUAAUUUUCUCCCCCAGACUACAAUUCCCAUCAUCCCUGACCACUGGUCUUGCUAGCUAGGGAUGAUGGGAUUUGUAGUCCAAAAACAGCUGGAGACCCAAGUUUGGGAAACACUGCUAGAGUAAACCAGAGGGAGUUCAACCUGUGGAAAAUAUUCUACAAAUGACUUAGCAUUUGUAGACAACAGCCAGCCCUGUGCCUCGUGAGUGUUCAUGCCUCAUUUAAAGCACAUGACUUCACUCAAAGAAGCCUGAGAAAUAUUCUUUACCCCUCACAGAGCUACAGUUCCCAGCAGCCUUCAGUUCCCAGGCUUCUUCGCAGGAAGCCAUGUGUUUUAAAUGCAUGGUAUGUACGCAGCUAGUUCUCAAGAGGGUUUGAAAAUCGAGGCUAUUGCAAUGCGUCAUGAACAGCAGCAGUUAUGGUCUCUGAGUAUUAAGCCUAUGCAUUCAGUUUGGUCUUUAAAAGAGACUCUUGAAGCGAUACGAUAGGCAUCUUUAAAUAUAUGAUGGGCUGCCUGUCGCAAAGAAGAUUGGGCAAAUUGGUUUUCUGUUGGUACGUUUCAUUCUUCCACAAACCCCUCUUUAGUCUGUUGUAUGAGUAGAAGAGCCUUAAAUGCCAUUUUAAAUACAGUGGUACCUUGGUUCUCAAACUUAAUCCGUUCUGGGAGUUUGUACGACUCCCGAAACCAUUCGAAAACCAAGGCACGGCUUCCAAUUGGCUGCAGGAAUUUCCUGCACUCAAGUGGAAGCAGCAUCGGAUGUUCGGUUUCUGAAAAACAUUCACAAACUGGAACACUUACUUCUGGGUUUGCGGCAUUCGGGAGCCAAUUUAUUUGACAACUAAGCUGUUCGGGAACCAAGGUACCACUGUAAUGAUUAAAAGUUAUCAGCAGUUAUAGGUGUACCUCUGACUAUCUGGAGACAGACUGCAAAAGUACACCAUCAUCUCUAUGACCUUGGCUGGUGACUAUUGGAAACAGAGGGCUAGAUUAGAUGGGCCUUGAUAUCACUCCCUCUAAUACCAGACUCAGAUGAUGAGUGCCAAUAGCACAGGUACCAAAUGGAAUGAAUGAGAAAUUAGAGGGAGAUAUAAGCAAGGACUGAGCAUGCUCGGAAGCCACAAAAAGUUGAGUAUCCAUUGAAAAAUAAUGGGGUUUUUUUGGGGGGGGAGUCCAGAAUCUAGAAGUGUGUGGCAGGGGAGGUGAGGAUUCACUGCAGCAUUUUGUUGCAGGUCCCAGUUGUGAUUCAGAAAAGCAAUUGUGCGUUCUCACACAGGCAGAUUAUACAUUUGAAGGGAAUUAGACUGUAAAUUCAUUUGAACAUCAAACCCAAAUAUAAGCUUUGAACCUUUGGGGUUUUGAGAGUCUAUGUGCAAAUACAAAAUAUUGGUGAGAAUUUCCCUCCUCUCGUUUGCUUCCCCUUUACGUUAGGGGUGUGUAUGUGAAACCAGGGCAUCAUCAAACCAGGAAAGGGCACUGACAAGCGUGGCUUCACUGAGAAUCUUUGUCCCUUUUAUAGUCUCUGAGAUGCUUCAGUUGCUCUUUCAUGUAGACCACAGAGCGUUGCUGAGAGUUUACUAAGAAUCUUUGAUCUGCCUUUAAACAAAAAGAGGAGUCUAUGGUUGGGUGCCUUUUCUUUUUUUACAGACCUACCGCUCUCCCUCUCCUCCCUGCUUCACAAUCUGUAUUAGAGAACACUAAGCGAGUUCUGGCUUGCUCUGAAGCUAUGAGGUUGAGAGAUAGGUUGCAUUGCGGAGAUGACAAAGACCCUGUUGUGGGGCCAGUCAGGUACAAGGGUUUAAAAUACAGGUGGAAAGGUUUGUCAGUUUCCAUUUCCCUCAGUCCCUCAUUUCUCCAAUCUUAAAUUCAGUUCAACACAUUUAUUUACAUGUUGCCUUUAUAUACCAUCAUUUCAUGGUGGCUUAAUUUUUUAAAUUUUUUUUUAAAGUCAUCAUUAAAAUCCAUCCUAAUAUUUCUCCUUAUAUGCAGUUUUGCAGCCUAACGAACACAUUUCUGCAAGCAGUUUCCCUUAAUUAAUGUACUUCUGUACCCUUUGUUAAAACCUGCAUUGCAUGCAAAAUUCUUAGUAGUGCACAUUUCAAAGGAUAGCUGGAUUUCAGUUCAUAUCUUGUUGCGUGAUGUGCAAUUUAGGACUAAAUUUCUUCCCAUCCCUGAAGUUGUUUACAUAUUUUGUGUCAGGGUAGACACGUAUUCUUUGGAAAGCUCAAGAGUUUUCAAAAGAAUACUCUCCAUGCGCUUACCUGAAAUUGCUAGAUUUAGAAAAUAUACUAAUAAGGCUGCAUAUACAUUCCACCUUUAAAGCGUAUUCAAAGCACAUUCUUUCCCUCAAAGUAUUCUGAGCACUGUAGUUUGCACUUCACAGAGUUACAGUUUCCAACAACCCUUGACAAACCACAGUGCCUAGAAUUUGCUGGUGGGGAGUGUAUGUAUGAUUUGAAUGUGCUUUACAGGUACACAGCCUACUGCAUAGAGACAAGGCAAAAUAAAGCGGCGGCUUCAGGCCUAGUUCCACAAUAUGGGGCUGGCAGAAUGAAUCGACUCCCGCAUUCCUCUCCCUGGAAAUAUUUGGCAAAGAAAGAGGAGAUGUGGUAGCAUCAUCACAUUCCCUGUUUCACCAGCCCAGCUUCACUUUAUUAGCUGCAGUUUGCAGCAGGCAGGGGAAUGAUGAUGUCCUGUUGCCACAUGUUCCUUCUACCACAUGUCGCCAAGGGAGAUGCAAAGGUGGAGAGAAAUAUAGGACACUGCCUUUUGUCAGGUCAGACUGUGGAUCUAUACAGUGGUACCUCGGGUUACAUACGCUUCAGGUUACAGACUCCGCUAGCCCAGAAAUAGUACCUCGGGUUAAGAACUUUGCUUCAGGAUGAGAACAGAAAUCGUGCUCUGGCAGCGUGGCGGCAGCAGGAGGCCCCAUUAGCUAAAGUGGUGCUUCAGGUUAAGAACAGUUUCAGGUUAAGAACGGACCUCCGGAACGAAUUAAGUACUUAACCCGAGGUACCACUGUAUUGCCUCUAUGUCAACUGGCAGCAACUCCUCAAACAUUUUCAGACAGGCGUCUUUCCCUGGGAUGGAAGCCGAGACCUUUUGUGUGCAAACCAAGUGACCUGCCGCUGAAUUUCAGCUCUUCCAUGAGGGUCUAUGGCAAUUUAAACCCUUGCAAUAGAUAAUGGGAGCUGAGGUUGAGUGCCCUCCCAGUUUCUGUAUCUGUCCCUUACAGUGUUGUUUUUUUCAGCUGGAGCGCAGUUCCAGCACCUCUCACAUGGACGCCAUUGCAGGCUGACACUCCCCACACCUGUUUCUUGCCUUUGCGUACUUCUGAGAAGCCUAAAACGAACAUUUCAAGUCAAAAUGGAAGCUGGCCAAUGUGUGUGUGUCUACACUUUUUUAAGAUCUAUGACUGAAAUAUACUCGGAUUUCAUGCUCUUUAUUCAGCUCAUAGUGGUGAGGAGGAAUGGAAGUUCCUCCACAAUAUCUGCUUUAUAUACAUUAUUUACACAGUGGGCUGCAUGUGAUUGGCUAAUUCUGGGAUUCUCCUGUAGGGCAAUCAGGUUGUGGAUUCACUUCCACCUGGAGCUGGAUUGGGUGGCUCCUGCGGACCAAUCAUAC
rnacentral:lncRNA from 1 species